rnacentral:rRNA from 1 species
UACGGAGGGUGCAAGCGUUACUCGGAAUCACUGGGCGUAAAGCGCGCGCAGGCGGCUAGAUAAGUUGGAAGUGAAAUCCUAUGGCUCAACCAUAGAACUGCUUCCAAAACUGUUUAGCUAGAGUCUGGGAGGGGAAGAUGGAAUUAGUAGUGUAGGGGUAAAAUCCGUAGAGAUUACUAGGAAUACCAAAAGCGAAGGCGAUCUUCUGGAACAGUACUGACGCUGAGGCGCGAAAGCGUGGGGAGCAAACAGGAUUAGAUACCCUGGUAGUCCACGCCCUAAACGAUGAAUGUUAGUCGUCGGGACUCUAGUAGUUUCGGUGAUGCAGUUAACACAUUAAACAUUCCGCCUGGGGAGUACGGUCGCAAGAUUAAAACUCAAAGGAAUAGACGGGGACCCGCACAAGUGGUGGAGCAUGUGGUUUAAUUCGAAGAUACGCGAAGAACCUUACCUAGCCUUGACAUAUUUUAGAACUCCGCAGAGAUGUAGAGGUGCCUUCGGGAGCUAAUAUACAGGUGCUGCACGGCUGUCGUCAGCUCGUGUCGUGAGAUGUUGGGUUAAGUCCCGCAACGAGCGCAACCCUCGUUCUUAGUUACUAACGGUUCGGCCGAGGACUCUAAGAAGACUGCCUUCGUAAGGAGGAGGAAGGUGAGGACGACGUCAAGUCAUCAUGGCCCUUACGGCUAGGGCAACACACGUGCUACAAUGGUUAGGACAAUGAGACGCAAUACCGCGAGGUGGAGCAAAUCUAUAAACCUAAUCUCAGUUCGGAUUGUAGUCUGCAACUCGACUACAUGAAGCUGGAAUCACUAGUAAUCGUAGAUCAGCUAUGCUACGGUGA